GCGACGGGAGGUGUUUUUCGUAUUAAAAACACCUCUUUUGAUCGAAAAUGAUCUUUACAGAUGGUCAAAGGUAAAAUUAUCCAGACCAAUUGGAUUCAGCCUCACGCUCACCCCAUACUUCUCCUCAUUUCGAUCUUCAACGUGUAUUGGUAGCUGCUUCCAGAAGCAAUUGCUAAGUUAUUGGAGCUAAAUUAAUGCAAGACAGAAUUGAAUUAAUCAGGAAAUUAAAGAACUUACUCGGAUGAAAAGCUUUUCAAGGAAUGGAGAGGAACAGAUAGAAAAGAAUGUGUAGAAGCAGAUGCUGGCAUAGUACCAAAGAUAUAGGUUAGUAAGGUAGAACUAACAAGCCAUGAUUAAGAGAACGGGGAGCUUUCUGCUAAGAGUUUGUACCACUAGAGUUGCUGUGCAUAAGUUGGUUUCAGAGCAUAAUCGUCCAAAAUAGUGAAAAGAUUGAAGCUUUGGAGCAUCUAUCUCCAACAAAUCAGAUAUGAAGCAAUCUCCAAUGGUCAACCUCUUCAGUUUGAGAUCUGGAACCGUAAUGUUAAUGACAGCAA